rnacentral:rRNA from 1 species
GCCCCGGCUAACUUCGUGCCAGCAGCCGCGGUAAUACGAAGGGGGCUAGCGUUGCUCGGAAUUACUGGGCGUAAAGGGCGCGUAGGCGGACAGUUUAGUCAGAGGUGAAAGCCCAGGGCUCAACCUUGGAAUUGCCUUUGAUACUGGCUGUCUUGAGUUCGGGAGAGGUGAGUGGAAUGCCGAGUGUAGAGGUGAAAUUCGUAGAUAUUCGGCGGAACACCAGUGGCGAAGGCGACUCACUGGCCCGAUACUGACGCUGAGGCGCGAAAGCGUGGGGAGCAAACAGGAUUAGAUACCCUGGUAGUCCACGCCGUAAACGAUGAGUGCUAGUUGUCGGCAUGCAUGCAUGUCGGUGACGCAGCUAACGCAUUAAGCACUCCGCCUGGGGAGUACGGUCGCA